GCUGUGGCUCAGCGGUAGAACAUCUGUUUGGCAUGCAGAAGGUCCCAGGUUCAAUUCCUGACAUCUCCA
rnacentral:tRNA from 1 species